rnacentral:rRNA from 1 species
CCAACAGCCGGCGACCGGCGCACGGGUGAGUAACACGUAUGCAACCUGGCCGUCACAGGGGGAUAACCGGUAGAAAUGCCGCCUAAUACCCCAUGACACCCUUUAGGGGCAUCCCUGGGGGGGUCAAAGGGAGCGAUCCCGGUGAUGGAUGGGCAUGCGGCGCAUUAGCUAGUCGGCGGGGUAACGGCCCACCGAGGCGACGAUGCGUAGGGGUUCUGAGAGGAAGGUCCCCCACAUUGGAACUGAGACACGGUCCAAACUCCUACGGAAGGCAGCAG